UUGUCAAUUUCCUAUAAGAAUAUUAUUCUGAAGACCUGGAGGAGGAGGUGGCAGCAGCGGUUAGAAGCAUGGGAAUGACUUCUAAUAGUUUACAGUAUCAUGAAGGAAGGGCUGUUGAAUUGUAGCACAAACCUGAACCUGGUCACUGACUGCAUGGAACAUGCUCUGACAUCGGUGCAUCCGCGAACUCGAUAUUCAGCUGGCUGGGAUGCUAAAUUUUUCUUCAUCCCUCUAUCUUAUUUACCUACAUCACUGGCAGACUACAUUUUGACUAGAUCUUGGCCCAAACCAGCCCAGGCAGUCUAAAGA
rnacentral:sRNA from 1 species